rnacentral:rRNA from 1 species
UGGGGAAUAUUGCACAAUGGGCGGAAGCCUGAUGCAGCGACGCCGCGUGGGGGAUGAAGGCCUUCGGGUUGUAAACUCCUUUCGACAGGGACGAAGCUUUUGUGACGGUACCUGUAUAAGAAGCACCGGCUAACUACGUGCCAGCAGCCGCGGUAAUACGUCGGGUGCGAGCGUUGUCCGGAAUUACUGGGCGUAAAGAGCUCGUAGGUGGUUUGUCGCGUCGUCUGUGAAAUUCCGGGGCUUAACUCCGGGCGUGCAGGCGAUACGGGCUGACUUGAGUGCUGUAGGGGAGACUGGAAUUCCUGGUGUAGCGGUGAAAUGCGCAGAUAUCAGGAGGAACACCGAUGGCGAAGGCAGUUCUCUGGGCAGUAACUGACGCUGAGGAGCGAAAGCAUGGGUAGCGAACAGG